AAAGACUUAGUCCUAACCUUACUGUUAGUUUUUGCUAGGUUUAUACAUGCAAGUAUCCGCGCCCCAGUGUAAAAGCCCUGGACACCACACAAAGGUAGAUAGGAGCAGGUAUCAGGCACACUCCCACAGUAGCCCAAGACGCCUUGCAAUUGCCACGCCCCCACGGGUAUUCAGCAGUAGUUAAUAUUAAGCAAUGAGUGUAAACUUGACUUAGCCAUAGCAAAUCUAGGGGUGGUAAAUCCUGUGCCAGCCACCGCGGUCAUACAGGAAACCCAAAUUAACAUUAUAACGGCGUAAAGAGUGGACACAUGAUAUCCAAGUAUCUAAGACUAAAAGGCAACUGAGCCGUCAUAAGCCCAAGAUGCCAAUAAAAACCACCACAUCAAAGAAGCUCUUAGAACAACGAUUAAUUGAAUUCCACGAAAGCCAGGGCCCAAACUGGGAUUAGAUACCCCACUAUGCCUGGCCCUAAAUCUUGAUGCUUUAUACUACCCAAGCAUCCGCCCGAGAACUACGAGCACCAACGCUUAAAACUCUAAGGACUUGGCGGUGCCCCAAACCCACCUAGAGGAGCCUGUUCUGUAAUCGAUGAUCCACGCUACACCUUACCAUUCCUUGCCCGAAGCAGCCUACAUACCGCCGUCGCCAGCUCACCUACACUGAAAGCCCAACAGUGAGCGCAAUAGCCCCACCACGCUAAUAAGACAGGUCAAGGUAUAGCCUAUGGAAUGGGAGCAAUGGGCUACAUUUUCUAGUAUAGAACAUAACGGCAAGGGGACUUGAAAUUGUCCUCGGAAGGCGGAUUUAGCAGUAAAGUGGGACAAUCGAGCCCUCUUUAAGCCGGCCCUGGGGCACGUACAUACCGCCCGUCACCCUCCUCAUAGGCGCCCCCCCCCCCAAUUAACCUAAUACGUUUUCCAGCCAAAGAUGAGGUAAGUCGUAACAAGGUAAGUGUACCGGAAGGUGCACUUAGAACACAC
rnacentral:ncRNA from 1 species